CAGUAGCCGCGGUAAUACAGAGGGUGCGAGCGUUAAUCGGAUUUACUGGGCGUAAAGCGUGCGUAGGCGGCUUCUUAAGUCGGAUGUGAAAUCCCUGAGCUUAACUUAGGAAUUGCAUUCGAUACUGGGAAGCUAGAGUAUGGGAGAGGAUGGUAGAAUUCCAGGUGUAGCGGUGAAAUGCGUAGAGAUCUGGAGGAAUACCGAUGGCGAAGGCAGCCAUCUUGCCUAAUACUGACGCUGAGGUACGAAAGCAUGGGGAGCAAACAGGAUUAGAGACCCCGGUAGUCCCUGUCUCUUAUAA
rnacentral:rRNA from 1 species